UUUGAGUGGGAGUAAAGAGCCAACAUAAUGAGGAUGGGGAAUACGAUAAAUCAAUGUUUUUCAACUUAUGAAAUGUUUGAUUUUCAUUGAAAAUGAUAUGUUUCCCUGCCAACAACCCGUGUCAGGAUAACACUUGACAAGGGUUGUUUU
rnacentral:sRNA from 1 species